CGUACACUCCUGCGGGAGGCAGCAGUGGGGAAUAUUGGACAAUGGGCGCAAGCCUGAUCCAGCCAUGCCGCGUGAGUGAUGAAGGCCCUAGGGUUGUAAAGCUCUUUCACCGGUGAAGAUAAUGACGGUAACCGGAGAAGAAGCCCCGGCUAACUUCGUGCCAGCAGCCGCGGUAAUACGACGGGGGCUAGCGUUGUUCGGAUUUACUGGGCGUAAAGCGCACGUAGGCGGACUAUUAAGUCAGGGGUGAAAUCCCGGGGCUCAACCCCGGAACUGCCUUUGAUACUGGUAGUCUUGAGUUCGAGAGAGGUGAGUGGAAUUCCGAGUGUAGAGGUGAAAUUCGUAGAUAUUCGGAGGAACACCAGUGGCGAAGGCGGCUCACUGGCUCGAUACUGACGCUGAGGUGCGAAAGCGUGGGGAGCAAACAGGAUUAGAAACCCGAGUAGUCCCAUGAU
rnacentral:rRNA from 1 species